ACAAGCGUACACGGUGGAUGCCCUGGCAGUCAGAGGCGAUGAAGGACGUGCUAAUCUGCGAAAAGCGCCGGUAAGGUGAUAUGAACCGUUACAGCCGGCGAUGUCCGAAUGGGGAAACCCAGUGUGAUUCGUCACACUAUCUCAGCAUGAAUACAUAGUGCUGUGAGGCGAACCGGGGGAACUGAAACAUCUAAGUACCCCGAGGAAAAGAAAUCAACCGAGAUUCCCCCAGUAGCGGCGAGCGAACGGGGAACAGCCCAGAGCCUGAAUCAGCUUGUGUGUCAGUGGAACGGUCUGGAAAGGCCGGCGAUACAGGGUGACAGCCCCGUACACGAAGGCACACAGGCUGUGAGCUCGAUGAGUAGGGCGGGACACGUGAUAUCCUGUCUGAAGAUGGGGGGACCAUCCUCCAAGGCUAAAUACUCCUGACUGACCGAUAGUGAACCAGUACCGUGAGGGAAAGGCGAAAAGAACCCCGGCGAGGGGAGUGAAACAGAACCUGAAACCGUGUACGUACAAGCAGUGGGAGCCUUCGUAAGAGGGUGACUGCGUACCUUUUGUAUAAUGGGUCAGCGACUUAUAUUCUGUAGCAAGGUUAACCGCAUAGGGGAGCCGAAGGGAAACCGAGUCUUAAUUGGGAGUUAAGUUGCAGGGUAUAGACCCGAAACCCGGUGAUCUAGCCAUGGGCAGGUUGAAGGUUGGGUAACACUAACUGGAGGACCGAACCGACUAAUGUUGAAAAAUUAGCGGAUGACCUGUGGCUGGGGGUGAAAGGCCAAUCAAACCGGGAGAUAGCUGGUUCUCCCCGAAAGCUAUUUAGGUAGCGCCUCGUGAACUCAUCUUCGGGGGUAGAGCACUGUUUCGGCUAGGGGGCCAUCCCGGCUUACCAACCCGAUGCAAACUACGAAUACCGAAGAAUGUUAUCACGGGAGACACACGGCGGGUGCUAACGUCCGUCGUGAAGAGGGAAACAACCCAGACCGCCAGCUAAGGUCCCAAAGUCAUGGUUAAGUGGGAAACGAUGUGGGAAGGCACAGACAGCCAGGAUGUUGGCUUAGAAGCAGCCAUCAUUUAAAGAAAGCGUAAUAGCUCACUGGUCGAGUCGGCCUGCGCGGAAGAUGUAACGGGGCUAAACCAUGCACCGAAGCUGCGGCAGCGACACUAUGUGUUGUUGGGCAGGGGAGCGUUCUGUAAGCCUGUGAAGGUGUGCUGUGAGGCAUGCUGGAGGUAUCAGAAGUGCGAAUGCUGACAUAAGUAACGAUAAAGCGGGUGAAAAGCCCGCUCGCCGGAAGACCAAGGGUUCCUGUCCAACGUUAAUCGGGGCAGGGUGAGUCGACCCCUAAGGCGAGGCCGAAAGGCGUAGUCGAUGGGAAACAGGUUAAUAUUCCUGUACUUGGUGUUACUGCGAAGGGGGACGGAGAGGGCUAUGUUGGCCGGGCGACGGUUGUCCCGGUUUAAGCGUGUAGGUGUGUGUUCCAGGUAAAUCCGGUUCACUUUAACACUGAGGCGUGAUGACGAGGCACUACGGUGCUGAAGUAACAAAUGCCCUGCUUCCAGGAAAAGCCUCUAAGCAUCAGGUAACAUCAAAUCGUACCCCAAACCGACACAGGUGGUCAGGUAGAGAAUACCAAGGCGCUUGAGAGAACUCGGGUGAAGGAACUAGGCAAAAUGGUGCCGUAACUUCGGGAGAAGGCACGCUGACAUGUAGGUGAAGCCCCUGCGGGUGGAGCUGAAGUCAGUCGAAGAUACCAGCUGGCUGCAACUGUUUAUUAAAAACACAGCACUGUGCAAACACGAAAGUGGACGUAUACGGUGUGACGCCUGCCCGGUGCCGGAAGGUUAAUUGAUGGGGUUAUCGCAAGAGAAGCUCCUGAUCGAAGCCCCGGUAAACGGCGGCCGUAACUAUAACGGUCCUAAGGUAGCGAAAUUCCUUGUCGGGUAAGUUCCGACCUGCACGAAUGGCGUAAUGAUGGCCAGGCUGUCUCCACCCGAGACUCAGUGAAAUUGAACUCGCUGUGAAGAUGCAGUGUACCCGCGGCAAGACGGAAAGACCCCGUGAACCUUUACUACAGCUUGACACUGAACAUUGAGCCUUGAUGUGUAGGAUAGGUGGGAGGCUUUGAAGCGUGGACGCCAGUCUGCGUGGAGCCAACCUUGAAAUACCACCCUUUAAUGUUUGAUGUUCUAACCUGGCGCCGUGAUCCGGCGUGGGGACAGUGUCUGGUGGGUAGUUUGACUGGGGCGGUCUCCUCCCAAAGUGUAACGGAGGAGCACGAAGGUCAGCUAAUCCUGGUCGGACAUCAGGAGGUUAGUGCAAUGGCAUAAGCUGGCUUGACUGCGAGAGUGGCGGCUCGAGCAGGUGCGAAAGCAGGUCAUAGUGAUCCGGUGGUUCUGUAUGGAAGGGCCAUCGCUCAACGGAUAAAAGGUACUCCGGGGAUAACAGGCUGAUACCGCCCAAGAGUUCAUAUCGACGGCGGUGUUUGGCACCUCGAUGUCGGCUCAUCACAUCCUGGGGCUGAAGUAGGUCCCAAGGGUAUGGCUGUUCGCCAUUUAAAGUGGUACGCGAGCUGGGUUUAGAACGUCGUGAGACAGUUCGGUCCCUAUCUGCCGUGGGCGCUGGAGAAUUGAGGGGGGCUGCUCCCAGUACGAGAGGACCGGAGUGGACGCAUCACUGGUGUUCGGGUUGUCAUGCCAAUGGCACUGCCCGGUAGCUAAAUGCGGAAGAGAUAAGUGCUGAAAGCAUCUAAGUACGAAACUUGCCCCGAGAUGAGUUCUCCCUGACUCCUUGAGAGUCCUGAAGGAACGUUGAAGACGACGACGUUGAUAGGCCGGGUGUGUAAGCGCAGCGAUGCGUUGAGCUAACCGGUACUAAUGAACCGUGAGGCUUAACC
rnacentral:rRNA from 1 species